ACCUGGGUCUAACAUUGGGUGCCCACCUGGGUGGUAUUUCCUGUAGUCCUUGAAAGUGGCUAAGGGAGAUAUCUGAUUCCAGAGAAAGCCUUUCCUGAGGCUGUUCUCCAAAUACCUGGAAUGUGUAUGUCCAGAGAGUGAUCAGUCCACACUGUUAACCCU